UGAGACACUUCCGUCCCGGCUCACAUCGUGCCUGCCCUUCUAACAACCUGACCCUCUCUCUUCCCACAGCCCUGGGCGAACGUGAAAGCCGUUUUCUACCAACCACAUCCUUCUGGGCCAGCAUCACUGUGGAAAACUGGCCCCACUCCUCGCUGCUGCAAGGGUGAAUUAGCUGGGGGCCAUGCUGGAGAGCUCCCCCCGGGUGAUGAGGACAGGGAGGAACUGGUGGGCUGACCAACCCUGCAGCUGCCCAGGUCCAGAACCCGGGUUAUGACUUGGCGCAUCCCAUCACCCACCCCACCCGUGAUCUGCUGGAGCACAUGAAGGGACCUGACCCGUAGGAUCUCCAUGACACGGGGCAACAAGGACACGUCCAGGAAGAGUCCCAGUGAGGGCCGGGCAUCGAUAGUGUAAUAGAAACCAGAGGCCUCGAACCAGACCAAAGACUCUUUGCGGUGAACACCUGCAAGUAAAUACACAAUGACAAAGGCGUUUACGGACUGACUCAUUGCGUCACGCUGUGAUUUCCAUGACAAGAUUUUUGAUUUUUUUUCCUUUUUAUGUAUUUUAUUUUUCUCUCUCUCUCUCUUAAAUUUUGUUUUAUUUGGGAGCUGUUGCAGGGCAGAGGGAGGAUGUGAAGGGACGGGGGAAUGCAUGGGAUCAAGAUGCAUGAUGUGAAAAUCACACUGAAUAAAUAGAAAAAGAGACGAGAA